UCAUCGGUAAGGGAUGGGCAUGCGUAGGAUUAGUUAGUUGGCGGGGUAACGGCCCACCAAGACUGUGAUCCUUAGGGGUUCUGAGAGGAAGGUCCCCCACACUGGCACUGAGAUACGGGCCAGACUCCUACGGGAGGCAGCAGUAGGGAAUAUUGGGCAAUGGGCGGGAGCCUGACCCAGCCAUGCCGCGUGCAGGAAGAAGGCGUUAUGCGUUGUAAACUGCUUUUAUACGGGAAGAAAAGGCCCAUGCGUGGGACAUUGCCGGUACCGUAUGAAUAAGCACCGGCUAACUCCGUGCCAGCAGCCGCGGUAAUACGGAGGGUGCAAGCGUUGUCCGGAUUUAUUGGGUUUAAAGGGUGCGUAGGCGGCCCGUUAAGUCAGCGGUGAAAGUCUGUGGCUCAACCAUAGAAGCGCCGUUGAUACUGAUGGGCUUGAGUGCCGUAUGGGUACAUGGAAUUGAUGGUGUAGCGGUGAAAUGCAUAGAUACCAUCAGGAACACCGAUAGCGUAGGCAUUGUACUGUGCGGCAACUGACG
rnacentral:rRNA from 1 species